UACGUAGGGUGCAAGCGUUGUCCGGAAUUAUUGGGCGUAAAGAGCUCGUAGGCGGCUUGUCGCGUCGACCGUGAAACCUCACAGCUCAACUGUGAGCCUGCGGUCGAUACGGGCAGGCUAGAGUUCGGUAGGGGAGACUGGAAUUCCUGGGUGUAGCGGUGAAAUGCGCAGAUAUCAGGAGGAACACCGGUGGCGAAGGCGGUGGUCUGGGCCGGCACUGACGCUGAGGAGCGAAAGCGUGGGGAGCGAACGG
rnacentral:rRNA from 1 species